rnacentral:rRNA from 1 species
UACGUAGGGUGCAAGCGUUGCCCGGAUUUAUUGGGCGUAAAGGGCGCGUAGGCGGCUCGGCACGUCCGUUGUGAAAUCGCCCGGCUCAACCGAGGAACGUCGAUCGAUACUGCUGUUCUUGAGGAUUGCAGAGGAGACUGGAAUUCCCGGUGUAGCGGUGAAAUGUGUAGAGAUCGGGAGGAACACCGGUGGCGAAGGCGGGUCUCUGGGCAAUUCCUGACGCUGAGGAGCGAAAGCGUGGGGAGCGAACAGG